rnacentral:rRNA from 1 species
GACGAACGCUGGCGGCGUGCUUAACACAUGCAAGUCGAACGAUGAAGCCCAGCUUGCUGGGUGGAUUAGUGGCGAACGGGUGAGUAACACGUGAGUAACCUGCCCUGGACUCUGGGAUAACCCCGAGAAAUCGGAGCUAAUACCGGAUAGGACCUUGAGCGGCAUCGCUUGGGGUGGAAAGUUUUUUCGGUUUGGGAUGGACUCGCGGCCUAUCAGCUUGUUGGUGAGGUAAUGGCUCACCAAGGCGUCGACGGGUAGCCGGCCUGAGAGGGUGACCGGCCACACUGGGACUGAGACACGGCCCAGACUCCUACGGGAGGCAGCAGUGGGGAAUAUUGCACAAUGGGCGCAAGCCUGAUGCAGCAACGCCGCGUGCGGGAUGACGGCCUUCGGGUUGUAAACCGCUUUUAGUAAGGAAGAAGGGGGGCCUUCGGGUUUCUUGACGGUACUUGCAGAAAAAGGACCGGCUAACUACGUGCCAGCCGCCGCCGUAACAC